AACGAACGCUGGCGGCAUGCCUAACACAUGCAAGUCGAACGAAGGCUUCGGCCUUAGUGGCGCACGGGUGAGUAACACGUGGGAACCUGCCUUCUGGUUCGGGAUAACGUUUGGAAACGAACGCUAACACCGGAUAAGCCCUUCGGGGGAAAGUUUACGCCAGGAGAGGGGCCCGCGUCCGAUUAGGUAGUUGGUGAGGUAACGGCUCACCAAGCCGACGAUCGGUAGCUGGUCUGAGAGGAUGAUCAGCUACACUGGGACUGAGACACGGCCCAGAGUCCAACGGGAGGCAGCAGUGAGGAAUGUUGGACAAUGGGCGCAAGCCUGAUCCAGCAGUGCCGCGUGAGUGAUGAAGGCCUUAGGGUUGUAAAGCUCUUUCGCACGUGACGAUGAUGACGGUAACGUGAGAAGAAGCCCCGGCUAACUUCGUGCCAGCCGCCGCCGUAA
rnacentral:rRNA from 1 species